rnacentral:sRNA from 1 species
ACUUCUUCGUGCAGGAGAGACACUGCUUGUGCCUGGUGUCUACAAGGCUGAUGGACACUAUUGAGGACAAACUUGACACCAAACACUACCCUUAUAUCUCUACCCGUUCCUCUGCCUCCUUCAGUACCACCGCCGUCAGCGCCCGCUAUGGGCACUGGCAUAAGAACAAGGCCCCAGGCGAGUACCGCAGUGGCCCCCGCCUCAUCAUUUUCAUCCUUGGGGGUGUGAGCCUGAAUGAGAUGCGCUGCGCCUACGAGGUGACCCAGGCCAACGGAAAGUGGGAGGUGCUGAUAGGAUCCACGCACAUCCUCACCCCACAGAAACUGCUGGACACACUGAAGAAACUGAAUAAAACAGAUGAAGAAAUAAGCAGUUAAAAAAAAAGUCGCCCCUCCAAAACACGUCCCCAUCCCACAGCGCUCCGCAGCUUCCCACCACCGCCCGCCUCAGUUCCUUUGCGUCUGUUGCCUCCCCAGCCCUGCACGCCCUGGCUGGCACUGUUGCUGCUGCGUUCUCGUGUUCAGUGAUGCCCUCUUCUCGUUUGAAACAAAAGAAAAUAAUGCAUUGUGUUUUUUAAAAA